UACGUAGGGUGCGAGCGUUGUCCGGAAUUAUUGGGCGUAAAGAGCUUGUAGGCGGUUUGUCGCGUCUGCCGUGAAAUUUCGGGGCUCAACCCCGAACUUGCAGUGGGUACGGGCAGACUAGAGUGCGGUAGGGGAGAUUGGAAUUCCUGGUGUAGCGGUGGAAUGCGCAGAUAUCAGGAGGAACACCAAUGGCGAAGGCAGAUCUCUGGGCCGUAACUGACGCUGAGGAGCGAAAGCAUGGGGAGCGAACAGG
rnacentral:rRNA from 1 species